rnacentral:tRNA from 1 species
GGCGGAUUAGCUCAGCGGUAGAGCGCGGGAAUCAUAAUCCUAAGGUCGGGGGUUCAAAUCCCUCAUCCGCUACCA